rnacentral:rRNA from 1 species
AAUCAACGCUGGCGGCGUGCCUCAGACAUGCAAGUCGAACGAGAAAGUUUCCUUCGGGGAAUGAGUAAAGUGGCGCACGGGUGAGUAACACGUAGGUAAUCUACCUUCGGGUGGGGAAUAACCCAGGGAAACUUGGGCUAACACCGCAUAAUGCAGCGGCACCACAUGGUGACAGUUGUUAAAGCGGGGGAUUUUAGGACCUCGCGCCUGAAGAGGAGCCUGCGGCGGAUUAGCUAGUUGGAAGGUAACGGCUUACCAAGGCGACGAUCCGUAACCGGCCUGAGAGGGCGGUCGGGUCACACUGACACUGACAUACGGGUCAGACUCCUACGGGAGGGCAGCAGUCGGGGAAUUUUGGGGUCAAUGGGCGAAAGCCUGACCCAGCAACGCCGCGUGAAGGAUGAAAUCCCUCGGGAUGUAAACUUCGCAAGUCAAGGAAGAAUAGAUGGAAG